GCACCUUUUCUCCCUCCUGCCACAUUGUGAGCGCUUCGCCUCCCACACGACCGCCGACUCCCGCUCCACCCCCGCCUCCCCUACUCCGCCCACUGCCGAGCGCCCAGGGCCUGGGAAGAUCUGCCAGGUUGCAAGGACCCUGAAGGCGGAGUUCCGAGGAGGUGGAGCCUGGAUGUGGGCGCAGGAACACCGUGCCUGGGGCCUCAGGCCGUCAGAAGAGAGUUUCUGAAAUGAUGCUGAAAUGGGGGUGAGUACAGAAAGGUAGAAACCAGUCAUCACAACAUGUCUAAACAACUUGGAUGUGAAAACUCAAGUCCCACCUGACGGCACCAGGCUGAACAAUAUUCUGCAGUGGAGAGUGGCUGCAGAUUACCAGGGAGCGACCUGGAAGUGAUCAGCUGCUUGAAGUCCUAACUGGUGGCAGGGCUGAGCCUCAGCCUGCACACAAGCAGACAGGAAGAAGGUGAGAGCUCCACUGAGCAACGUGUUGCCAUUCAGAGGGCCUGCGUGAUUCCUCUGUGCCAUAGAAUCCCCUGCAGCUUGGAGACCUCCUUCCUAUCGUGUUGAUGGUCUUGUGGAAGCUACGUUCUGCUCUACAAGGCAUUGACUGCAGCCUUUUUCCUGGCCAGAUUGCUGUUCUUAGCAUGUACUGAGCACCAAGAUGUCCCCAGCUUAUUGAGUGCGUUCCACUGUCCUAAGUGUUGCACCUCUGUUAGUCUGCAGAAUCCUUCCGACUAUACCUUUUGAGAGAGCAGUGGACAAGCAAGCCGAGUGGAAUAUGCAGUGUCUCAUCUUGGUUAAAUUGUUGGAGGACUUUUCUGCCAAUUAUAGUGGUUAAGCACUGA